GGGAUGAUGAUGAGGUUUCCCACCAUGAACAGCAGCAUGGUGAAGUCCCAGUAGAACCUGGGGGCGAGGGUGCCCACACCUCAGGCCGGUGCCUCCCCGGGGCACCUGCGGGACCAGCCCCGGGCACUCUUCCUUGGGGGACGAGGGGCGCCCACACCUCGAGCCAGUGCCUCCUCCGAGGAGCCUGCGGGACCAGCCCCGGGCCCUCUUCCCUGUGGGACGAGGGGCACCCACACCUCAGGCUGGUGCCUUCCCCCAGGCACCUAUGGGACCAGCCCCGGGCAUUCCUCCCUGGGGGGCGAGGGUGCCCACACCUCAGGCUGGUGCCUUCCCCCCAGGCACCUAUGGGACCAGCCCCGGGCAUUCCUCCCUGGGGGGCGAGGGUGCCCACAGCUCAGGCCGGUGCCUUCCCCCCAGGCGCCUGCAGGACAAGCCCUGGGCACUCCUCCCUCGGGACCAGGCUCCCACCCCAGGAAGGCCACCCAGCCCCGAGGGAGCCCAACGCCCACUGCGCUGCCCUAGCCCAGGUCCCUUCCUCAGGCCCAACUUUGACCCCGUGUCCUUGAAGAUGCAGGAGACCUCACAAGGCCCAAGAGGUGGCUCAAAAUAGAUUAAGUGCUUCACAUGACCAGAGAGGGACAAUGUGCCUGGCACAAGGUUGGCGUUAAAAAAAUAGACAGGACAGGACAGCAGAGGAGCAGAGAGGAGCCGGGGUGCAGAGGGGCACUGGGAAGCAGCAGGGCGAGGCAGGGCGGCGCGCACAGGGAGAGCGAAGGCGGGAAGCCAGGGUGGGAAAUGAACCGUGCUCAGCUCACGCCGGGAGGUGAGGGCCCCAGAUGCCUUACUGAGAAGCGGGAGCCUCCACAGGGGCCACAGGAAGACUGAACCAGGGCAGCACCGGCUGCAUUUCCAGAGGAAGUGGGGCGUCCACGCAGGAGGAGAGAGGAGGAAGUGGGGCGUCCACGCAGGAGGAGAGAGGAGGGAGUGGGGCGUCCACGCAGGAGAGGAGGAAGUGGGGCGUCCACGCAGGAGGAGAGAGGAGGGAGUGGGGCGUCCACGCAGGAGGAGAGAGGAGGGAGUGGGGCGUCCACGCAGGAGGAGAGAGGAGGGAGUGGGGCGUCCACGCAGGAGGAGAGAGGAGGGAGUGGGGCGUCCACGCAGGAGGAGAGAGGAGGGAGUGGGGCGUCCACGCAGGAGA
rnacentral:lncRNA from 10 species